GGGAUUGUAGUUUAAAUGGUUAGAACACCUCCCUGUCACGGUGGAAGUUACGAGUUCGAAUCUCGUUAGUCCCG
rnacentral:tRNA from 1 species